rnacentral:lncRNA from 1 species
GGUAUGUAGCAUUUUGCUUUCUAGUACCAUUGCCUCAUUGGGAGCUCAAAAUGUGCUUCCUAGUUAGUGUUUAAAAAGCUGAUUAGGGUAGCUGUUUUAUCCUCAACUUCUAGUGAUCUGUAGUUCUCCAAAACUUUUUAAUAUGGGAGAUAUUUUAAUAUUCUGGAAUAAAUAGUGAAGAUUUUAAAUUGAGAGAAAAGACAAAAUUCUCAAGAACUCUUUUAAAACAUACAGUCUUCAAUAAAGUUAUCUGGAUCUGUGAUUGACAAUUCUGUAUUGACUGAAAAGCAUUACUGUUACCUAAUUGAGUAGAAAAAUUAAUUUCUAAUUAUAUAUGUAACAAGCCGUGCCCCUUUUUUGUAGUCCAUGUGUUAAUACAUCAUGGGAUAUAUAUAUAUAUAUAAAGCAACUUAAUUCUUGUGGUGUAGUCUUAAUAGUUUUGAAUGUUGACUGAAUGUCUAUGAAA